rnacentral:rRNA from 1 species
AAUGAACGCUAGCGGGAGGCCUAACACAUGCAAGCCGAGCGGUAUUGUUUCUUCGGAAAUGAGAGAGCGGCGUACGGGUGCGUAACACGUGUGCAACCUGCCUUUAUCUGGGGGAUAGCCUUUCGAAAGGAAGAUUAAUACUCCAUAAUAUAUUGAACGGCAUCGUUUAAUAUUGAAAGCUCCGGCGGAUAGAGAUGGGCACGCGCAAGAUUAGCUAGUUGGUGAGGUAACGGCUCACCAAGGCGAUGAUCUUUAGGGGGCCUGAGAGGGUGAUCCCCCACACUGGUACUGAGACACGGACCAGACUCCUACGGGAGGCAGCAGUGAGGAAUAUUGGUCAAUGGGUGCAAGCCUGAACCAGCCAUCCCGCGUGAAGGACGACUGCCCUAUGGGUUGUAAACUUCUUUUGUAUAGGGAUAAACCUACCCUCGAGAGGGUAGCUGAAGGUACUAUACGAAUAAGCACCGGCUAACUCCGUGCCAGCCGCCGCCGUAACAC